rnacentral:tRNA from 1 species
AUAGCUCAAUGGUAGAGCAUCCGGCUGUUAACCGGAGGGUUGUAGGUUCGAGCCCUACUC